ensembl:lncRNA
UGAGGCGGGGCACGUAUGACCAUGAGGGCCUCUGUUUAUUUAACCUCCCCAGACAGGCAAUGGAGUGACAUUCAUCUUCUAUAGGGAAUUGGCUGUAUAAAUAAGGUACUUUUUUUUUUUUUUUUUUUGGUCUUUUUAGGGCCGCACCCAUGGCACAUGGAGGUUCCCAGGCUAGGGGUCAAAUCAGAGCUACAGCUGCCAGCCCACACCACAGCCACAGCAAUGCCAGAUCCGAGAGCCACGUCUGCAACCUACACCACAGCUCAUGGUAACCCACUGGGCCAGGCCAGAGAUUGAACCCGCAACCUCAAGGUUCCUAGUCGGAUUCCUUUCCACUGAGCCACGACGGGAACGCCCAAGGUACUUUCUCAACUGGCAGCAGUUAGAAAAGGGAAAGGAAGGAAGGAGAGAAACCCCUAAACACACUCCACUCCACAGAAAAUAAGCCUGCCAGCGAAAAUCCCAACCGGCCUGCUUUCUUGGACAUUCUUUUUCAUCUCUUACCAUUUGACACGUGGACAUCUGGUCUGUGCAAAGGGGACUACAUCUGCGCCGCUUUUGGAAGGUUCGAGAAGAACUACAGUUGGGCUCUUUAUCUUCCAGACAGAGCUGAUCCUGAGUGAGUCACAGGUCAAGCGGGGAGCAGGGCGCAAGGAUCUCCAGACUGGCAGGCCUGCACCUGAGCUGAGUCACGCAGCCCAGAGCUGCACCUCCCGCACACCAGAAAAUUCCUCAAGAUUCUUAUUCAGUAGUCAAGACAAUAUUCUCAUGACAGCUCUUCUGAAUCAGCAACAAUUCGAAAGACCGGAAGAGAACGACCACGCCCUUACGUUAUCCAUUUCCAACCCAUCUUCUUUUCUCAAGAGUCAAUUAGCUUAACUCCUUUAGCUCUUCCAUGAAUGGCAACAUGCUAGAUGAGCAAAUUUAAAUUUUUACCCUAAGUCACUCAAAUGAGCUUUGUAAUUGGCUCUCGUAAGCUAAUAAUUAAUAUCCAUUUCAAUAACUCUCCUUCCACGUUCUGAUGGCUGAAGUGUUUGUUGUUUUAAAAAGAAGCUGUCAUCGCAUUGCCAUUUUCAAUUUGUAGUCAUUCUGCCACCUCCCAAGAGCUUUAUAUGCCAAACUUGCGGUUAUUCUGAACAUUCUUCAUUUUGUCAGCUUAACUAAUUUGAAAGUAACCUGUGUUUUAUUGUAGAAAAUUGACAAUCCAUGGAUAAUACUAUAAAAUCCUUUAAAAAGUUUUUAAAUAAUUAGCAAUUUGUCAUUCCAUAAAGGCUCGUCAUACUA